rnacentral:misc_RNA from 1 species
UUAACUAUUAGAAUAGUACUCAGACUGCAAAAAUUCAAGAGUUAGGCCUCUGACAGACACGACCCAGCCGAAGCCGGAGGCCUGCCAAAGCAACAGAGUUAGGUAUACAAAGGGUGAGAAUCUAGCUCGUGCGAGCCGUCAAUUCUUUAAUGAUCCUUCCGCAGGUUCCGCUAAGUCCCAGCCGUUGCCAGCCAGGGCGGACUCUAUCUUAAGCGCUGAACUAGCAGCACCCACGCUCAUUGAGCCUCUAAACCGUCUCCCGGGUAAGAGGAGCGGGCUGUGGAUUUCCCCUAAGGGCCUUCCCACAAAUUGAGCGUGUCGCCUCUGAAAGAGACUAGCAGGGCAAGCCUGCUGUGGUAGGCAAAACUGCAGAUACCUACGGAAA